AACGAACGCUGGCGGCAUGCCUAACACAUGCAAGUCGAACGAGAUCUUCGGAUCUAGUGGCGCACGGGUGCGUAACGCGUGGGAAUCUGCCCCUUGCUUCGGAAUAACAGUGAGAAAUUACUGCUAAUACCGGAUGAUGUCUUCGGACCAAAGAUUUAUCGGCAAGGGAUGAGCCCGCGUAGGAUUAGGUAGUUGGUGGGGUAAUGGCCUACCAAGCCGACGAUCCUUAGCUGGUCUGAGAGGAUGAUCAGCCACACUGGGACUGAGACACGGCCCAGACUCCUACGGGAGGCAGCAGUGGGGAAUAUUGGGCAAUGGGCGAAAGCCUGAUCCAGCAAUGCCGCGUGAGUGAUGAAGGCCUUAGGGUUGUAAAGCUCUUUUACCAGGGAUGAUAAUGACAGUACCUGGAGAAUAAGCUCCGGCUAACUCCGUG
rnacentral:rRNA from 1 species